rnacentral:rRNA from 1 species
UGGGUUUAGAACGUCGUGAGACAGUUCGGUCCCUAUCCUCUGCAGCCGGAAGAGAUUUGAGGAAAGCUAUCCCUAGUACGAGAGGACCGGGAUGGACGUAGCUCUCGUGUGCCAGUUGUUCCGCCAGGAGCAUGGCUGGUUGGCGACCUACGGGAGGGAUAACCGCUGAAAGCAUCUAAGCGGGAAGCCUUUUCCAAGAUGAGAUCUCUCACCGGGUCAACCGGGUAAGGCCCGUGGCAGAACACCACGUUGAUAGGCCGGAAGUGUACGCACAGCAAUGUGUUCAGCUGACCGGUACUAAUCGGCCGAGGGCUUGGUUCU